rnacentral:tRNA from 1 species
AUUGAAAUAGUUUAUAAAAAAAUAGUAAAUUGUGGUUUUACUGAAAUUUUUCAAUA